UACGUAGGGGGCAAGCGUUGUCCGGAUUUAUUGGGCGUAAAGAGCGUGUAGGCGGCCUGACAGGUCUGCUGUGAAAACUCGAGGCUCAACCUCGAGAUGUCGGCGGAAACCGUCUGGCUAGAGUCCGGAAGAGGAGAGUGGAAUUCCCGGUGUAGCGGUGAAAUGCGCAGAUAUCGGGAAGAACACCCGUGGCGAAGGCGGUUCUCUGGGACGGUACUGACGCUGAGACGCGAAAGCGUGGGGAGCGAACAGG
rnacentral:rRNA from 1 species